rfam:Puccinia triticina 1-1 BBBD Race 1 supercont2.4, whole genome shotgun sequence.
GGUCGAUUAGCUUAGUCGGUAGAGCGUGGUACUAAUACGUCUGGCCUGUGAAGGUUGUCUCGUAGUAACAUGCCAAGGUCGUGGGUUCGAUCCCCACAUUGACCA